rnacentral:rRNA from 1 species
AACGAACGCUGGCGGUGUGCUUAACACAUGCAAGUCGAACGAGAAAGUUUCCUUCGGGAAGCGAGUAAAGUGGCGCAAGGGUGAGUAUCACGUGAAUAAUCUGCCCUCGAGAUCGGGAUAACAUGGUGAAAACUGUGCUAAUACCGGAUAAGACCACAUUUCAUAAGAAAUGCGGUAAAAGGAGUCUCAAUCUUCACUCGAGGAUGAGUUCGCGCAACAUUAGCUUGUUGGUGAGAUAAAAGCUCACCAAGGCUACGAUGUUUAGCCGGCCUGAGAGGGUGAACGGCCACACUGGGACUGAGACACGGCCCAGACUCCUACGGGAGGCAGCAGUGGGGAAUAUUGGACAAUGGGCGCAAGCCUGAUCCAGCAAAUACCGCGUGUGUGAAG